rnacentral:rRNA from 1 species
GACGAACGCUGGCGGCGUGCUUAACACAUGCAAGUCGAACGGAAAGGCCCUGCUUUUGUGGGGUGCUCGAGUGGCGAACGGGUGAGUAACACGUGAGUAGCCUGCCCUUGACUUUGGGAUAACUUCAGGAAACUGGGGCUAAUACCGGAUAGGAGCUCCUGCUGCAUGGUGGGGGUUGGAAAGUUUCGGCGGUUGGGGAUGGACUCGCGGCUUAUCAGCUUGUUGGUGGGGUAGUGGCUUACCAAGGCUUUGACGGGUAGCCGGCCUGAGAGGGUGACCGGCCACAUUGGGACUGAGAUACGGCCCAGACCCCUACGGGAGGCAGCAGUGGGGAAUAUUGCACAAUGGGCGGAAGCCUGAUGCAGCAACGCCGCGUGCGGGAUGACGGCCUUCGGGUUGUAAACCGCUUUCGCCUGUGACGAAGCGUGAGUGACGGUAAUGGGUAAAGAAGCACCGGCUAACUACGUG